rnacentral:rRNA from 1 species
CCUACGGGAGGCAGCAGUGGGGAAUAUUGGGCAAUGGGCGCAAGCCUUACGCAGCAAUACCGCGUGAGUGAAGAAGGUCUUCGGAUUGUAAAGCUCUUUGACAGGGGAGAGCAGAAGACUGUACCUGUCGAAUAAGCCACGGCUAACUACGUGCCAGCAGCCGCGGUAAUACGUAGGUGGCAAGCGUUGUUCGGAUUUACUGGGUGAAAAGGGCGUGUAGCCGGGCUGACAAGUCAGAUGUGAAAUCCUCGGGCUCAACCCCCGAACUGCAUUUGAAACUGGUGAUCUUGAGUAUGGGAGAGGAUGGCGGAAUUCCUGGUGUAGCGGUGAAAUGCGUAGAUAUUAGGAGGAACAUCAGUGGCGAAGGCGACCUGCUGGAAGAUAACUGACGGUGAGGCGCGAAAGCGUGGGGAGCAAACAGGAUUAGAUACCCCGGUAGUC